UGGGGAAUUUUGGACAAUGGGCGAAAGCCUGAUCCAGCAAUGCCGCGUGUGUGAAGAAGGCCUUCGGGUUGUAAAGCACUUUUGUCCGGAAAGAAAUCCUUGGCUCUAAUACAGUCGGGGGAUGACGGUACCGGAAGAAUAAGCACCGGCUAACUACGUGCCAGCAGCCGCGGUAAUACGUAGGGUGCAAGCGUUAAUCGGAAUUACUGGGCGUAAAGCGUGCGCAGGCGGUUUGCUAAGACCGAUGUGAAAUCCCCGGGCUCAACCUGGGAACUGCAUUGGUGACUGGCAGGCUAGAGUAUGGCAGAGGGGGGUAGAAUUCUACGUGUAGCAGUGAAAUGCGUAGAGAUGUGGAGGAAUACCGAUGGCGAAGGCAGCCCCCUGGGCCAAUACUGACGCUCAUGCACGAAAGCGUGGGGAGCAAACAGGAUUAGAUACCCUGGUAGUCCACGCCCUAAACGAUGUCAACUAGUUGUUGGGGAUUCAUUUCCUUAGUAACGUAGCUAACGCGUGAAGUUGACCGCCUGGGGAGUACGGUCGCAAGAUUAAAACUC
rnacentral:rRNA from 1 species